CUCAGCACUGUAUAAAAGAGCCUUACCCUAGCAGUUUACACACACACACCAGCUGCAUCUGAGAACUGGGGGAGCCAAGACACCAAAACACUACUGAAGUAUCAAGAAGAAACAGGAUACGGAAGGCAGAAACGGAGAAAAACCUGAGGAAAUAAAUGUUCACCAGUAAACGCUUUUCAUCUUCAGAAGACUGAAAAUGGGAAAUGAUAACUCGGGUGAAAUUAGGGAGCGUAGGAGAGCUGAACAAGCUGAGGCGGAAAAGUGGAGAUUCAAAGCAGAAAAACUAGCACUCCAGGAACAAUACCAAAGAGUUGAAAAUGAGAGAAAUAUACAGAGAAUGAGAGAAGAAGAGAAGAGAAGAAUCUACGAAGAGAACAGACUUAAAGAGGAAGAAGAAAGGAAAAGACUUCACAUAGAGAAGCAAAAUACACAAAAAGAAAACAAGACAGUUAGUUAAACUGUUUCUGCUGGGACAUGGUCAUCAUACAGAAAGAUGGGUGCACAUCACCGAAAACAUUGUGAAGAUUUUUCUUCUUCCAUACAUCUACUGUAAAGCACUUGGCAAACUUUUUGUUUUAAAAGAUGCUAUCAAAAUAAAGUUCUACAUCUUAUUUUCACCACCA